GGGCCGGGCCGGGCCGGGCCUGAGGCGAGCCGGGCCCGCGGCGGAUGGGCGAGGCUCUUUGCGGACCAGCGGGCCGGAGACGGGUUGUGCCUUUCGCGGCCGUGCUGCAGAGGAGGGUGUCAGCCCCAGAGCCGCCAGCAGCCCCUCAGAGCCCCCCGGCUCCUCUGCCAGAGCCAGCUGUACCGGGUCUGGGGCAGGGGGGCGGCUCAUCUGGCGCUGGGGACACCACAGAGGUCUGGGGCUGACACCACCUGCCGCUGGUGGCGCCGACUGACAGGUGUCUGGGAGGGUACACUUCUGCAGCUCAGUGAUGAUGUGUCUGAUUGUGAGAAACAUGUGCUGAGUACAGUCAGUGUCUUCCAGAGGAACAUGGGAUGAUGGCACCUUCAUUAUCAAUGUGGGCAAGACAAAGAUGCAAAUGAUGCAGAAAGACAGAAGGGUGCACUAAGGCUGCUGCAAAAUGGAAGAAGCAAAAAUAGGAAGAAAGAUUGAGGGGACCACACAAGUGUGAGAUCAGGACAUGUAGGAAGUCAGAAGGAUGGAGGAUCUGGCAUGAUAACAACUGAAGUAUUGACUAAAAAGCCCAAUGUCCAUCGAAACCUGGAGCUCCUGACUUGGGUCCCGAGUUGCAGCGAGCACUGGGAGGGCAGCAGUGAGAGCAAUGCCUUUGGCCCAUCCACUGACAUGAAUUUCUACCUUCUGUCUGUGCAGGAAUGCACAGAAUUUCCAAGCUCCCACAUGUAUGUUACAUAGAUCAGAAAAAUUCAUGGUCCUGUCAGAGACAAAAAAUAGCAGUGAGUCCUGUGAAGGCAGUAGUGUGAUCCUUGUUUUAGAGAUGACAAAACAGAGGCAUGACGAGGCAGAGCUUUAGCACCUCUGGGGAAGUAAUGGCUGUUUUGUUUACAAUGGGUAGCCUGUAUCCAGUUCUUCCUUCCCAAAGUCCAUUUGUGCUGUAGAGAAUAUGUAGGGAUUGUGAAUGUACUCGUAAGUAGCAUUCCACAGUUGAACUAAUUGCCAGGCCAAGCGAGGGACCACAGUAAAUGGGUGAAUAAUUUGAUCCAAGAUGGAUUUGUACUCUACCAACACAGCCUGAAAUCUUCUAAUGCUUUUGGAUUUGACUGUGAGCUGUUCAUUGUUGUUUGAGCCUGUUCUUUUCUAUUACCAUAUUUUCUCUGGAUAUCAUUUCUGUGUACCUUAUCUUUGUAUAAAAGGCCACAUCUUUACCAUAUUUCCAGGGAGUAGUCAGUAUAGGCAUACAAAAUUUACUGCUGUAGACCAAAAUAUGACAGAUAAAGGUAGUGCAUUACAAAGUUCUUGCCCUCAAUCAUACAGAAGCCUCUCUAUGCUUCUGUGAGCAGUGGCACAAAUGUGGCUGCACUGUAAUGGGAGAAGGGUUAACAGCAAACCAAGACACUUUCUACAGCAAAAAGAGAUGGAAUCUUCUCCAAGCAAUUACCUUGUAUGUAAUAAACAAUGUCAGUGGUCAAUAGAGGGAGUUUUCUUACCCUAAUCCCCUUUCAUUUAGCUUAAAAUAGAAGUACUAUUAGUUUGACUAGCAGGUUGGUGUACCAUGAAGCCUGGUCAUCCCUAGUUGAAGGCUAAAUUUAACUGCUAGCAGAAAGGUUGCUCCAGUAGCUUUUGUCUAUGCUUUCCUUGA